AUGCCACGUUGCUGUUUGGGCUGCUUUCAGCUCUUUUGGUGGUCUCGUGGUGUCACCCUGGCCUCUCCCAGCAAUGCCAAGGACAGCCCUGGGUGCCGUCCGGCCUCCUCCUCGCCCUCCCUGAUGCCCCAGGGACCCGUUUGCGCUGCUAGAGGAGCUCUCGCUUCCCACCCGGAGCUUCCCCUCCUCUGCACGCGGGUUGCUUCGGAAAUGCCCUCCUUGGGGUUUCUCAUGAGCUUCAUGGACCAGGUGGUCUCCAGAGGUCCCUUCCGACCUCAGCUACGCUUUGAUUCUCCAAAGCCGCGCGGCCGAGUCGUGGCCGGAGGCGACACGGGGAGGCGGCGGUGCCACCGGACCCGUCAGGUCCCACGGAUGUGGCGUCGCCUCGGCACAACGCAACCAAGGACUAGGAGAGCGGGGCCGAGCAGCGGUGGUUCCCGAGUCCCUCCUACGCCGCCGCCGCGAUGGAGCGCCGGCAGCCGCCCAGGGCGGGACGCGGCGAGCUCGGCGGGACAGACCGAGCCCAAAAACCCGGAGGAUGGGUCUGGCAGCGCGGUUCGGGGCCGCUUCGCUCCCCCCUGCCACCAUCCCGCGCUGCGGAGGAGCAAAGGUUUUCCGGAGCUGCGGAAAAUCUCACCGGCAUUUGGUCCCUGUCGUCAAAAACGUGCCGAAAAUAAGCUGGCUCAGGGAGCGCGUUGCUGCGUCCUGCCCGGCCGGGUGUCGACGGGAGCGGCGACGGGAUCGCGGGCAAAGCGGCUCCCGUCGAGCCGCAAGGUCAUCGCCUGCCCUUCGCUCCUAAAUCCUCAAAUUUCACGCGCAGGCUGGAUUUUGGCAUCGCCGGGAGCUCCUCUCGCCUCCCAGUUACGCCGUAGCCUCUCCUGUUCUGGGGCGGGUAAUAUGUUAUUAGCGAGAUCCUUAGCAAACUGUUACUCCUGCGGUAGCCGGGGGCGGGGGGGGGAAAAGAAGGAAAAAAGGAAAGCCUUCCGGCAGAAGUUUGGGAUGAGGAAAACCUUAAAUGCCAGGGGAGGGCUGCAAACCCGCAAACCCGUCCCCGGAAUGACCGCGGCGGUUCGCGCAGGGCUCCGGGGACGAAGCGCUCGCCGCCGCUUCGCAAAGACGCGGCCGCCGUUCGGCCGCCGAGCGAGUUUUUCCUCCGCCGCCGGGUUUCGUUGCGGCGCGCCAACUCCCUCUCCUAAAAUAAAGGGGGUGGGAAAAAAAAGAAAAGGAAAAAAAGCCCUUGUGUUAAUUUAA
rnacentral:lncRNA from 1 species